ACAUUUUCAAUCCAAAGCAGUGUUGUCGAAUAGAGGAUGCAAAGCAUGCUGGGAAAUCACGCACACUGCUGCUCACACUGAACUGAUGUAUCAUUGGCUAAUGUCGGAAGAUUUGAAGAAUGCCGAGGCAGAUGGAGCAAGUUCACAGUUCUUUUAAUGUCUCCAGAGACACGUUCAAGCAGCGGGAGGCAGGGACAGCUGGACUCUACCCGGACGAGGGGAAUAUGCGGCUCCAGAGGUGCAGGAGAAUACAGGAGGACGAUGAGAUAGCUUGAAGGUAGCAAACGGAAUGUUGUAUGGGUUGGC